rnacentral:rRNA from 1 species
CACUCCUGCGGGAGGCAGCAGUGGGGAAUAUUGGACAAUGGGCGCAAGCCUGAUCCAGCCAUGCCGCGUGAGUGAUGAAGGCCCUAGGGUUGUAAAGCUCUUUCACCGGUGAAGAUAAUGACGGUAACCGGAGAAGAAGCCCCGGCUAACUUCGUGCCAGCAGCCGCGGUAAUACGAAGGGGGCUAGCGUUGUUCGGAUUUACUGGGCGUAAAGCGCACGUAGGCGGACUAUUAAGUCAGGGGUGAAAUCCCGGGGCUCAACCCCGGAACUGCCUUUGAUACUGGUAGUCUUGAGUUCGAGAGAGGUGAGUGGAAUUCCGAGUGUAGAGGUGAAAUUCGUAGAUAUUCGUAGGAACACCAGUGGCGAAGGCGGCUCACUGGCUCGAUACUGACGCUGAGGUGCGAAAGCGUGGGGAGCAAACAGGAUUAGAUACCCCGGUAGUCCCAUGAU